AUGCAACAGUUUCAACCUGAAAACUUCAGUUCAAAUUGAGGUGUCAAGGGGCUGGGGACAUAACUCAAUGGCACCUAUCCCUGACUGGAAUUGGAUUUAUGUGCAGAGCUGUAAUGGAGAAUACUCUGGAUUCACAGCCAUAGAGAAAAUGGAAGAAAGCAGGAAUGGGCAAGGGAGAAACUGGGCUGUGGUACAGUCACAGUAGGCUGAAGCCAGCUCCACAGAGAGGUCUGAAGCAGGAAGGUACUCCCAGUCCAGGCAGAGAUCAGGUAUUUUUACCUCACCAGGGACCAGUCAAGGAGGAGUUAACCUUGGCCAAGAAUGUUCUCAGUGAGAAUAAUUCCAAGGGAGAGACAACAGCCAAAGAUCUUCCAGCCAAAGAGAACACAGCUGAACAACUGCCCUAUUUUACAAAUGAGAAAAUUGAGCCAUGAAGAGUACACAAAUUUUCCAAGUCAUACAGCAAGUA